UCCGCUCGACAAAUCGCUCCUGAGGUCAAUGGUGAACCUGAAGUGAGCCAGACAUCAAUCGGUAGUGCAAGAAGAGGAAGAAAUUGUCUGCAGUCGAGGAAGAAAUCACUUUCAGCAAUUCAAAAAAAUUCUCUAACACCUCCCGAAAAUCCCUUCUUCACAAUUAUCCAAGGACUUUCGUGUUCGCCAGUUGUUAACUCCAAACAUGAGUAAAAAGAGAGUCUGCAUCGUUGGAAGUGGAAACUGGGGCUCGGCGAUUGCCAAAAUUGUUGGGGCCAACACUGCCAAGCACAAUGACAAAUUCGAAGAAAAGGUCACGAUGUACGUUUACGAGGAGAUGAUCAAUGGGAAAAAACUCACGGAGAUUAUCAAUGAACAGCACGAAAAUGUUAAAUAUCUCCCAGGGCACAAAUUACCAGCAAAUGUCGUGGCCGUUCCCGAUGUCGUGGAGGCAGCCAAGGAGGCGGACAUUCUCAUCUUCGUGAUUCCCCAUCAGUUCAUCAGGGGAUUGGCCGCUGCGAUGCUUGGGAAAAUUAAACCCGAUGCCGUGGGGCUUUCUUUGAUCAAAGGCUUCGACAACUCAGAUCCAAAGAACAUUCAGCUGAUCUCGAAAGUUGUCACAGAACACUUGAAAAUCCCCUGUUAUGUUCUGAUGGGAGCAAAUCUCGCUAACGAAGUAGCAGAAGAAAAAUUCUGUGAAACGACUAUCGGCUGCAAAGAUAAGCGACUGGCACCUCUUCUCAGAGAUAUGAUUCAAACACAAAAUUUUAGAGUUGUGGUGGUGGACGAUCUGGAGGCAGUGGAAGUCUGCGGAGCUCUCAAGAAUAUUGUGGCAUGUGCUGCUGGCUUCGUGGAUGGUCUCUCCCUGGGGGACAACACGAAAGCAGCUGUAAUCAGGUUGGGGCUCAUGGAAAUGAUUAAAUUCGUUGACACAUUCUACGGGGGAUCGAAGCUGUCGACCUUCUUCGAAAGCUGUGGAGUAGCUGAUCUCAUCACCACUUGCUACGGUGGAAGGAAUCGCCGAGUUUGCGAGCAAUUCGUAAAAACAGGAAAGACUAUCAAGGAGCUUGAGGAUGAACUCCUGGGGGGUCAGAAGCUCCAGGGUCCAGCGACUGCUGAGGAAGUGAAUGGAAUGCUGAAGUCCAAGAAUUUAACUGAUAAAUUUCCCCUGUUCACAGCUGUUCACCGCAUCUGCAGUAAAGAGCUCAAAGGAUCAGAUCUGAUUGAUCAAAUUCGCAAUCACCCUGAGCACCAUUUUGCGCCGAAAAACCUGUAUGUGUUCUAACCCCCUUGAGGAAUCUCCAUUAAUCCCAUAAUUGAAUUCCAAAAUUAAUUAGCAUAGGACCUUGCAUGGCCAUUAGUGCAACUGAGAGCUAACUUGGCGGCAGCUUGAGAAUCCAAAUAAUCGAAUCAAUUAAAUCCCACUGCUCAGAACUAUCUAAAACCACUAGGUAGAGAUAAUUAAAUAGCGAAGAGCAAAAAUCUAACAACUCGGUUUAGUUAAUAGUAAUCUCGAGAAAUCUCUCAGAGUCUGAUAAAGAUAGCUAAAUUUCUGCAAGAACUUUUUUUUGGAGUGGACUGAGAUUUGCACAGAUCUUUCCAGGAAUCUCGCUAUCUCUUUGAAAUGUAAACUCGACUGAGCAGCAAUCAACUUGCUUUUCAUCUCUUCGGCUAUAUGGAUUUUAGGAGGAAUUAUGCAAUAUUUCCACUGCAAACCAAUAGUUGUGGAGGUAAAAUGAAAAAUUGAGAAUAAUUUCAAAUUGGAGAGAUUGAAAAAAAAUUUAAAUUCGAGGUACUUCGCUACACAAUUGUAAAUAGGUAAAUAAAAGAAGAGAAAUAAGAGGAACAAUUGUACAUAAUGAUAAAUAAAUAAGGAUUAUUGCUAUUAGA